rnacentral:lncRNA from 1 species
ACCUGUUGAUACAAUUUGUAAGCUCUUUGUUAUUUAAUGUUACUUCCUCGUCUCUAUUUUUACCAGCUUUGACAAGUGUUUGGAAUGACUAAAUUUUCACUUCUGUUCUCCAUUACUGUAUACCUUACAACAAAAUUAUUUUCAUUUACCGGUGUAUAUUUUUCUAUUUGUCUGCAUUUUGUCCAAGGUUAUGGUCGUCUUUCUGAUAUAAUUUAACAUCUCACCCCUUAUUUUCUUCAUUUUGCAUUUAUGUUGGGUCAGAUAAAAUUUAUUUGAUUUUAGAUUUUUUGUGUUAAUUAAACACCACUUGGGGCUAUUUUAAGGCAGUUGGUUUUUAUAAGUGGAGGAAGCGUGGGUGCCUGCAUAAAAUAACUGACCUUUGAUAGUAAAACUGACAAUCCUAGUAAUUUAAGAUUGGAGUAAAGUGCACCUGCACGAGUGGGGUUGUAACUCACAAUAGGGUUGACUGGCUAGUGAUUAAAGUAGUAACUACUUAGAUCCCUCUGCUACUUAGCCACCAUUCAUUCAGUGUAUGUUCACUUGAUUGAGUUGAGCCAUAACAAUUGAUAUUUGCUAGCAUGUCUUUGUAUGUUGUGAUGUUAUACUAUUGUUUCAGGUAAGGAUGAAGGUUGGUUCCUAUUAAAAUUUUUAAACCAGCUGUAUUGUUUUACACUUGUGCUGUGUGAGGAACCUGAUGUUCAGUGGUUCAUAAUGAGAGGCUCUGUGUUGAAGACUGUACUUUGUUGAACUAUAAUGGUUUACUUUUACAAAUUGUGACUUGGAUGGAGAGUAGUCUCAAUGGCACUCAUACCACUUCUUAUAUUGUAUUCAAAACAGCAGUUCUCAAUCCAAAAUGUUCCUAUGAAAAAUAUUCCAAUGUAUGCAACUGUUAGCCUUUCUU